rnacentral:rRNA from 1 species
AUUGUCUGUACUGGUAAGAUGAAUCUCUACCUUCUGAGGAACUUUCAUUUAUUUGGUGUGAUUGGAAAUCAGGACUGUUACUUUGAAAAAAUUAGAGUGUUUAAAGUCUGAAUACAUUAGCAUGGAAUAAUGAAAUAGGACAGAUUGAUUCUAUUUCGUUGAUUUCUAGGGUUACCAUAAUGAUUAAUAGGGAUAGUUGGGGGCUUAGUAUUCAAUUGUCAGAGGUGAAAUUCUUGGAUUUAUUGAAGACUAACUACUGCGAAAGUAUUUACCAAGGAUGUUUUCAUUAAUCAAGAAAGUUAGGAGAUUGAAGAUGAUCAGAUACCAUCGUAGUCUUAACUAUAAACUAUGAUGACUAGGGAUCGGACGAAGUUAAUUAAUAAUGACGCGUUCGGCACUUUACG